CGACACACUAUCAUUAACUGAAUCCAUAGGUUAAUGAGGCGAACCGGGGGAACUGAAACAUCUAAGUACCCCGAGGAAAAGAAAUCAACCGAGAUUCCCCCAGUAGCGGCGAGCGAACGGGGAGCAGCCCAGAGCCUGAAUCAGUAUGUGUGUUAGUGGAAGCGUCUGGAAAGGCGCGCGAUACAGGGUGACAGCCCCGUACACAAAAAUGCACAUGCUGUGAGCUCGAUGAGUAGGGCGGGACACGUGGUAUCCUGUCUGAAUAUGGGGGGACCAUCCUCCAAGGCUAAAUACUCCUGACUGACCGAUAGUGAACCAGUACCGUGAGGGAAAGGCGAAAAGAACCCCGGCGAGGGGAGUGAAAAAGAACCUGAAACCGUGUACGUACAAGCAGUGGGAGCACGCUUAGGCGUGUGACUGCGUACCUUUUGUAUAAUGGGUCAGCGACUUAUAUUCUGUAGCAAGGUUAACCGAAUAGGGGAGCCGAAGGGAAACCGAGUCUUAACUGGGCGUUAAGUUGCAGGGUAUAGACCCGAAACCCGGUGAUCUAGCCAUGGGCAGGUUGAAGGUUGGGUAACACUAACUGGAGGACCGAACCGACUAAUGUUGAAAAAUUAGCGGAUGACUUGUGGCUGGGGGUGAAAGGCCAAUCAAACCGGGAGAUAGCUGGUUCUCCCCGAAAGCUAUUUAGGUAGCGCCUCGUGAAUUCAUCUCCGGGGGUAGAGCACUGUUUCGGCAAGGGGGUCAUCCCGACUUACCAACCCGAUGCAAACUGCGAAUACCGGAGAAUGUUAUCACGGGAGACACACGGCGGGUGCUAACGUCCGUCGUGAAGAGGGAAACAACCCAGACCGCCAGCUAAGGUCCCAAAGUCAUGGUUAAGUGGGAAACGAUGUGGGAAGGCCCAGACAGCCAGGAUGUUGGCUUAGAAGCAGCCAUCAUUUAAAGAAAGCGUAAUAGCUCACUGGUCGAGUCGGCCUGCGCGGAAGAUGUAACGGGGCUAAACCAUGCACCGAAGCUGCGGCAGCGACGCUGA
rnacentral:rRNA from 1 species